CAAGAAGGCAAGUAAGAAGGCAAGGAAGUCUAGAGAAGGAAGAGAAAGUCUAGCAAAAGGGUGAGUAUUAGCUUGUGGAGGUGUUGAAGCUUCAAAGUCUAAGAGGGAUUCUUGGCUUGUGAGAGUGUAAAGCUUCAAGGAAACAAGGUGGAGAAACAUCCAAGGGAAAGGGAGUUUUGCAAGGG